GGCAACCCACUCCAGUACUCUUGCCUGGAAAAUCCCAUGGACUGAGAAGCCUGGUAGGCUACAGUCCAUGGGGUCGGAAAGAGUCAGACACAACUGAGCGACUUCACUUUCACUUUGAAGGUUGGUCCGCUGGUUUGUGUAAACUUUGUAUAGGGUGAGAUUUGUGCUGAGUUUUUUUGUUUGUUUUUCCUCUUAUGGGCAAGGCUGAAUGAGGUGAUAAUCCUGUCUGCUGAUGGUUGGGUUUGUAUUUUUGUUUGGUUUGUUGUUUAGAUGAGGCAUCCUGCACAGGGUGCUACUGGUGGUUGGGUGAUGCCCAGUCUUGUAUUCAAGUGGCUUCCUUUGUGAAACUUCUCACUAUUUGAUGCUCCCUAGUAUUAGUUCUCUGGUAGUCUAGGCUCUUGGAGUCAGUACUCCCACUCCAAAGUCUCAGGGCUUGAUCUCUGGUCAGGAACGAAGAUUCCACAAGUGGUUUGUUAGGGCAUUAAGUGAGUCAUUCAGUUCAGUU